GGAGGGGGCGAGCGUUAUUCGGAUUUACUGGGCGUAAAGCGCACGUAGGCGGCUAGGUAUGUCGAAGGUGAAAGCCCUCGACUCAACCGAGGAACUGCCUUUGAAACUGCUUGGCUUGAGUCCGGGAGAGGGGAGCGGAAUUCCCAGUGUAGCGGUGAAAUGCGUAGAUACUGGGAGGAACACCGGUGGCGAAGGCGGCUCCCUGGACCGGCACUGACGCUGAGGUGCGAAAGCGUGAGUAGCAAACAGGAUUAGAUACCCUGGUAGUCCACGCCGUAAACGAUGGGCACUAGGUGCAGCGGGUGUCGACCCCCUGCUGUGCCGAAGCUAACGCAUUAAGUGCCCCGCCUGGGGAGUACGGUCGCAAGGCUG
rnacentral:rRNA from 1 species